rnacentral:tRNA from 1 species
CUUCUCGUGAUGGAAUAGGUAGACAUGCUAGUUUUAGAAACUAGUGCUUUAUAGCGUAAGAGUUCAAAUCUCUUCGAGAAGA